GACUCCGUAGCUCAGUUGGUAGAGCAGCUGACUCUUAAUCAGCGGGUCCACAGUUCGAGCCUGUGCGGGGUCACUA
rnacentral:tRNA from 1 species